rnacentral:sRNA from 1 species
CCGGAUGCCAGACCGGGUCCGACGUGGGCGCCGGGCUGGUGUCUUCGGACCCCGUCUGAAACCCCCGUCCCAGCGCUCCUUCGUAUCCAUCUUGCUCUUUGGAGGACUUGGUUAUGAGGA